rnacentral:rRNA from 1 species
GAUGAACGCUGGCGGCGUGCCUAAUACAUGCAAGUCGAGCGAACAGACGAGGAGCUUGCUUUUCUGAUGUUAGCGGCGGACGGGUGAGUAACACGUGGAUAACCUACCUAUAAGACUGGGAUAACUUCGGGAAACCGGAGCCAAUACCGGAUAAUAUUUUGAACCGCAUGGUUCAAAAGUGAAAGACGGUCUUGCUGUCACUUAUCGAUGGAUCCGCGCUGCAUUAGCUAGUUGGUAAGGUAACGGCUUACCAAGGCAACGAUGCGUAGCCGACCUGAGAGGGGGAUCGGCCACACUGGAACUGAGACACGGUCCAGACUCCUACGGGAGGCAGCAGUAGGGAAUCUUCCGCAAUGGGCGAAAGCCUGACGGAGCAACGCCGCGUGAGUGAUGAAGGUCUUCGGAUCGUAAAACUCUGUUAUUAGGGAAGAACAUAUGUGUAAGUAACUGUGCACAUCUUGACGGUACCUAAUCAGAAAGCCACGGCUAACUACGUG